AUCAAUUAUGUAUUUUUUCUAAUGUUGAAAUAAUUCGAUUGAUGAUAAUAAUUGUAAAAUUCAAGUAAUAGUAUUCCUGUAACACCCUAAUUUUAGGAAUAUGAUGGUGCAUGCAAAGAGGUUUAAAAGAAUUGAUUUGGCCACCUAUGCCACCAAAGUGCACUUAUCUUUUCGGUUAAAGGUCUUGAGAGAACUCCACAGUUAAGCGUGUUUGGGCUGGAGUAGUUUCAGGAUGGGUGGCAUUCCAGAAAGUGAUUGUCGGAACCAUUCGAGAGAGGACAAAGCAUGGAAAAAGAUCAUGUGGUGAUUUCUAGGGAUGGUAACAAGUCUUUAAAGCCUCCCGGACGUGGCCCACCGAUCGUCGGACAGAGGUGGGCCCAUGGACCCGAGAGAGAAUGUGGGGUCCAUUAGUAAAGACGGUCGGGUCGUUACAAUUCCUAUUAUUAUAUAAAGGUUAACUCUUCUUUUGGGAAAAGACAAAUUAUGUCUUUGUAACAACAAUUAUUUUUUUAUAAAAAGGAAAGGAAAUUGCAUCAAAGUUUAAACUUUAAUUUAAAACUGUUUGAUAAGAGAAGUCUUAUUUACAGUAAAUUGCCUUUUGGUCUCAUUAUCUUUUUCCGACUUCAAUUAGUGUUGCUUGGUUCAGUUUGAUGUUUGGUCUCUCUAGUGUGUUCAAUCCCUAAGCUGCAUACAUGUGUUAAAUAUGUUUUUAUAAAAUCUACUACUAAUAAAAGAAACAAUUUGAGGCUUCUCAAGUCAUCCACAUCAUCAUUCCAAAAAUCAUUCUAGAGGAUGCCACAUCAGAUUUUUUUAAAUACCCUCUCUAAAUACCAUGUCACCAAAUUAUUAAAAUAUAA
rnacentral:sRNA from 1 species